rnacentral:rRNA from 1 species
UCGCGGUUAUACGAUUAAUGCAAGUGGAUAUUUUUGGUUAAUGUAGUUUUUAGUAUAUAUUUGAGUUUUAUACAAUUUUUAUUAGGUGAAAUUUUAUUUUUUGAUAUGACUCUUUAUUAUUAAUCUAUGAAACUUAAAUAAUAAACUAGGAUUAGAUACCCUAUUAUUUUAAGUGUUAAUUUUGGUUUACCUGGGUAAUAUUAGUUAAGUUCUUUAAACCCAAAGAAUUUGGCGGUAUUUCAUUCCAUUCAGAGGAACCUAUCUCGUAAUUGAUAGUACACGAUUAACUUUACUUGAUUUAUUUGUUUGUAUAUCUCCGUUAUCAGAAAAUCUUUUUGGAGCUAUAAUUUUCUAGUUUUUCCAUUAAAAAUUAUUUCAGGUCAAGGUGCAGCUUAUAAUCAAGUGUAUGAUGGGUUACAAUAAAUUUUUUUAUUAUGGAUUUGAUUGUGAAAAUUUUUAAUGAAGGUGGAUUUGAUAGUAAUUUAAUUUAUUUAAUUUAAUUGAUAUUGGCU